rnacentral:rRNA from 1 species
GAUGAACGCUGGCGGCGUGCCUAAUACAUGCAAGUCGAGCGAACGGACGAGAAGCUUGCUUUUCUGAUGUUAGCGGCGGACGGGUGAGUAACACGUGGAUAACCUACCUAUAAGACUGGGAUAACUUCGGGAAACCGGAGCUAAUACCGGAUAAUAUUUUGAACCGCAUGGUUCAAAAGUGAAAGACGGUCUUGCUGUCACUUAUAGAUGGAUCCGCGCUGCAUUAGCUAGUUGGUAAGGUAACGGCUUACCAAGGCAACGAUGCAUAGCCGACCUGAGAGGGUGAUCGGCCACACUGGAACUGAGACACGGUCCAGACUCCUACGGGAGGCAGCAGUAGGAAAUCUUCCGCAAUGGGCGAAAGCCUGACGGAGCAACGCCGCGUGAGUGAUGAAGGUCUUCGGAUCGUAAAACUCUGUUAUUAGGGAAGAACAUAUGUGUAAGUAACUGCGCACAUCUUGACGGUACCUAAUCAGAAAGCCACGGCUAACUACGUG